UGGUACGCGUUAUGUUGCAGGUGUUUAACGUUGUCGAUGUUGCAACGGAUACGAAUAAUUUUUACCGGGUGCAGUAGAGCCUAGUGCCGAGCGAUUCGUUUUUGACGCAUAAUAACGUUUUUCCCAGUGCCUUGGAGCUGGUUAAUGGUUCGUCUGCUAGGCAUUUACUUUGUUUCUCGAUCAAUUCCUAGGAGUAGUGUAUCUUUUGUGUCCUUGUAAAUUACUCAAAAUGAGAAAACAAUGUCGCAAUAUUUCGCUAUGGAUAAACAAAUCUAGAGGUAACGACAUUGCGAUGUCACACAGUAGAUGGUUGAUGGGAAGGAUGACCGACAAAGCAAGACACGAAAAAAAAUCCUAAAAAGUUUUGGUUGGUACCUGUUCACUUGGAUUAGCAAUAGCUAAUUUACGUCCACCUGCUCCCCAUUGCAAGAUUCUUUUUGACGCGCGGAAGGACAAGUUCGAUUGAAAUACGAUUUGCCAGGUCUGCGUGAAAAACUUCCGGCGUUCUAUAAGGAGAAGCUAAAAACAGGCCGUCAGGAGAAAAGGAGACAUCCCAGAUGGAAUUGGUUUGUACGGGCAAACUAAGGACUGGAUCGCUAUUGCCACGGCUAUCCCAUAAGACUACAGAUCCAUCCUCUAAUCCGCUGCAAUCCAACUUGAUUCAGCUAUCGAAUCAUCAUCAAGGUACCAAGCUAAACACGUGGGUCUUUUCAUUCUUUCAUUUUUUACUAAAUAAAUAGGCUCGUUGGUCUCGAUCGACCAUACCUGUACAGAAACAGCGUUUGAGCUG